rnacentral:rRNA from 1 species
CAGCCGCCGCGGUAAUACGUAGGGCGCAAGCGUUAUCCGGAAUUAUUGGGCGUAAAGAGCUCGUAGGCGGUUUGUCGCGUCUGCCGUGAAAGUCCGGGGCUCAACCCCGGAUCUGCGGUGGGUACGGGCAGACUAGAGUGAUGUAGGGGAGACUGGAAUUCCUGGUGUAGCGGUGAAAUGCGCAGAUAUCAGGAGGAACACCGAUGGCGAAGGCAGGUCUCUGGGCAUUAACUGACGCUGAGGAGCGAAAGCAUGGGGAGCGAACAGGAUUAGAUACCCCAGUAGUCCCUGUCUCUUAUAC